GAUCUUUUCUAAUCAGAGACCACUUUCACCUUAGUGGCUGCAAUGGCAUAUGUAACAAUUGUGGGACAGACUCGGUGUUAUACAAGGUGUCUAACAAAAUCAUGGAAAGGAUCCCUGACAGAGACUCCUGGUGACACCCUUUGUUUUUAACAAGAAACUGAAGUCUCACUCAAGGACAACUGAAAUCUUGAGAGGCGAGUGGUUGCAGGAAGAAGACAGUGUUCUGUUUUGUGAACGACAGUUCAUGUGAACAGCGCAAUUAUGAAAGGUUCAAUCAUUCUGAAAUAAAAUAAUUGUAGAUCAUUAUCAUCCUCAUCACGCUAUAACCGUGUGAGAUGAGGUACAAAGUUUAAUUUCCCUCUACUGUGCAUAUAUUCUGAUACUGACUACUUCAACGGUGUGAGGUCAGAAUCCAUUGGUGAACUUGCGUGUUUUUACUUUACAAAAAUGCUUCUUUUUCUGUAUUAUGUCAUUACUUUGAUAUCUGUCCAUAGAUCCAUGUGUAAGUAAUGUUUGAAUCAAAGCAAACAGUGGGAAUCAUUUUUUGUAAUUUGGAAUUGAAAGCCCUGAAUUUUCUCAUUGCAGCAACAACCCUGACUUUAGCCAUGUCUGAAAUAAAUGCAUUUGAUGUACA